UUAUAUGGUCUUCAGGUUGGCCCCUGGAAGUUCCAUACUUAACUGGUCAUUAAAUAUGAUGAUGUCACAGAAAUGUAGAAACCAUCCUGUCUUCAACAACCUCAUCAACUUCUGAGAAGGAAGUUGCUUAGGACAAACUUCCUUAUGGAAGCAAAGCCCAAAGGAAGAACCAGUGAAACAAUGUGUGAUUAGCUUAUUUAAUUCAAUAGCAUUGACCGUGACUAAAUCCAUGGGAGAAACUAGACCCAAGGCUUGAAGCAUUCGAAGCAAUAGAGAUACCACCCACUGUCCAGUCUUAGG